UCCGUCCUGCGUUUGGUAGCACAUGGACUUUUGGUUUUGCAUAGCUAACCCUAGACAUGGUCAAUCAAGGACUUUAGGGGUUUAGGAUUUGCAUCAAGUCAAUAUCCUUUAACUUUGCCGCCACUUGGGGUCAGGUUUGUAAGAAAAUGGGGUUUUAGUUUCAACAAUUGCGGCAUGGAAGGUGGACGAGUCAGUCCGUCCAAAUGGGUUGGGUUUCCGAUUGCGAGCCUCCAAAAUGUGGUAUGAGGACUGAGAAAUGAACAUGUUUUUUAAUUUUCUGAUUUUAUUGCUGCAACAAACUAAAUAGAAGGGAAACCCCAAAAUCAAGUCUUACAUUUUGGAGGCAUGUUUUCACCAAAUCAGCGCAAUACAAAGAAAGAGAGACCGAAAGGCAGAUCGUACCUGGACUGGAGAUGCAAAGCUGAAGUUCAGAGAGAAGGUUGCAAAGGGGAGAUGCAGAGGAUGAAGAGGAAGGUUGCGAAAGAGGGGAGAUGCAGAGGAGAGGAAUGAGGAAGACAACGGCAGGCAGAGAGAAGAGAUUGUUUUAGGGUUUGUAAUGAUUUAGAUGGUGUAAUUUUUGAAAAAGAUAUGGGGUGCAUUUGUCUUAAAAUGGUAAAAUAUUGUGUUCCACAGGCGUGGAACAACACAUUCCAGGGGGUAGACGCGGGACACAAAAACACCCAAAUUCUGUCCCGUAGAACAGAGCGUUCCACCCUUUUUUGGCGUACCAAACGC
rnacentral:lncRNA from 1 species